AGAGUUUGAUCCUGGCUCAGGAUGAACGCUAGCGGCAGGCCUAAUACAUGCAAGUCGAACGGAUAUGAGGACUUCGGUUCUCAUGUUAGUGGCGCACGGGUGCGUAACGCGUAUGCAACCUACCUUUUACUGGGGGAUAGCCCGGAGAAAUCCGGAUUAAUACCGCAUAACACUAUUUGAGGGCAUCCGAAGAUAGUUAAAGAUUUAUUGGUAAAAGAUGGGCAUGCGUGCCAUUAGCUAGUUGGUGGUGUAACGGACCACCAAGGCGACGAUGGCUAGGGGUUCUGAGAGGAUGAUCCCCCACACUGGUACUGAGAUACGGACCAGACUCCUACGGGAGGCAGCAGUAGGGAAUAUUGGGCAAUGGACGCAAGUCUGACCCAGCCAUGCCGCGUGCAGGAUGAAGGCCUUCUGGGUUGUAAACUGCUUUUAUCUAGGAAGAAAAAACCCUUGCGAGGGGAACUGACGGUACUAGGUGAAUAAGCACCGGCUAACUCCGUGCCAGCAGCCGCGGUAAUACGGAGGGUGCAAGCGUUGUCCGGAUUUAUUGGGUUUAAAGGGUGCGUAGGCGGCCCGUUAAGUCCGUGGUGAAAGCCAACAGCUCAACUGUUGAACUGCCAUGGAUACUGACGGGCUUGAGUACAGACGAGGUAGGCGGAAUGGAUGGUGUAGCGGUGAAAUGCAUAGAUACCAUCCAGAACACCGAUUGCGUAGGCAGCUUACUAGGCUGUAACUGACGCUGAGGCACGAAAGCGUGGGGAGCGAACAGGAUUAGAUACCCUAGUAGUCC
rnacentral:rRNA from 1 species